rnacentral:rRNA from 1 species
UGGGGAAUUUUGGACAAUGGGCGAAAGCCUGAUCCAGCCAUGCCGCGUGCAGGAUGAAGGCCUUCGGGUUGUAAACUGCUUUUGUACGGAACGAAAAGACUCUGGUUAAUACCUGGGGUCCAUGACGGUACCGUAAGAAUAAGCACCGGCUAACUACGUGCCAGCAGCCGCGGUAAUACGUAGGGUGCAAGCGUUAAUCGGAAUUACUGGGCGUAAAGCGUGCGCAGGCGGUUAUAUAAGACAGAUGUGAAAUCCCCGGGCUCAACCUGGGAACUGCAUUUGUGACUGUAUAGCUAGAGUACGGCAGAGGGGGAUGGAAUUCCGCGUGUAGCAGUGAAAUGCGUAGAUAUGCGGAGGAACACCGAUGACGAAGGCAAUCCCCUGGGCCUGUACUGACGCUCAUGCACGAAAAGCGUGGGGAGCAAACAGGAUUAGAUACCCUGGUAGUCCACGCCCUAAAACGAUGUCAACUGGGUUGUUGGGUCUUCACUGACUCAGUAACGAAGCUAACGCGUGAAGUUGACCGCCUGGGGAGU